rnacentral:rRNA from 1 species
AGCAGCCGCGGUAAUUCCAGCUCCAAUAGCGUAUAUUAAAGUUGUUGCAGUUAAAAAGCUCGUAGUUGAAUUUCGGGGUCAGCAAGUUGGUCGUGCCACCGGUAUGCACUGGCUUUGCUGAUUCCUCCUUCUUGUAGAACCGUAAUGCCAUUAAUUUGGUGUUGCGGGGAAACAGGACUGUUACUUUGAAAAAAUUAGAGUGUUUAAAGCAGGCUAACGCUUGAAUACAUUAGCAUGGAAUAAUGAAAUAGGACGACGAUCCUAUUUUGUUGGUUUCUAGGAUUGACGUAAUGAUUAAUAGGGAUAGUUGGGGGCAUUAGUAUUCAAUUGUCAGAGGUGAAAUUCUUGGAUUUAUUGAAGACUAACUACUGCGAAAGCAUUUGCCAAGGAUGUUUUCAUUAAUCAAGAACGAAAGUUAGGGGAUCGAAGACGAUCAGAUACCGUCGUAGUCUUAACCAUAAACUAUGCCGACUAGGGAUCGGAUGAUGUUAAUUUUAUAAUGA